UUGAAUUUGGGUAUUGAUACACCUGUGCACCCUUCUGAAGCGGAGAGUUAUUAGGCAUUGGCCGAGCGCCUCCCUUCGGUUAUUAUAUCAACCUCAAACUACGUUUACUAGAAUGUAUACCGUCUUGUUGUAACGACAAGUACAAUCCAAUA
rnacentral:misc_RNA from 1 species